rnacentral:rRNA from 1 species
AUUGAACGCUGGCGGCAGGCUUAACACAUGCAAGUCGAGCGGGGUGAUGGUGCUUGCACUAUCACUUAGCGGCGGACGGGUGAGUAAUGCUUAGGAAUCUGCCUAUUAGUGGGGGACAACAUCUCGAAAGGGAUGCUAAUACCGCAUACGUCCUACGGGAGAAAGCAGGGGAUCACUUGUGACCUUGCGCUAAUAGAUGAGCCUAAGUCGGAUUAGCUAGUUGGUGGGGUAAAGGCCUACCAAGGCGACGAUCUGUAGCGGGUCUGAGCGGAUGAUCCGCCAGACGGGGACGGAGACACGGCCCAGACUCCUACGGGAGGCAGCAGUGGGGAAUAUUGGACAAUGGGGGGAACCCUGAUCCAGCCAUGCCGCGUGUGUGAAGAAGGCCUUAUGGUUGUAAAGCACUUUAAGCGAGGAGGAGGCUCUUUUGGUUAAUACCCAAGAUGAGUGGACGUUACUCGCAGAAUAAGCACCGGCUAACUCUGUGCCAGCCGCCGCCGUAA